AUGUCCGGAGCGGGAGGUAGAUGGAUGGCCUCCUCCGUCACGGAGGGGCAAAUCAAAAAGUUGAGGAAGGCCGGAUACUUGUCUGACGACAUAUCGCACCGGCUUCCAGAUGAGGGGCAACUCAUCCCCACCCCUGGGCCCCAUGAGAGGGUCGUAUUUCUCUCCCAUUUCCUCCGCGGACUGGGCUUUCCCCUUCACCCGUUCGUCCGGGGGCUCAUAUUCUACUACGGCCUGGACUUCCGCGAUCUGGCCCCGAACUUCAUCCUCAACAUCUCGGUGUUUAUCAUCGUGUGUGAGGCCUUCCUCCGCAUCCAGCCUCACUUUGGCCUAUGGCUGAAGAUCUUCAGCGUCAAGCCGAAGGUCGUGGGUGGCCGCCAAGCGGAGUGCGGAGGCGCCAUGAUGGGCAAGAUAACCAACGUUACAUGGCUCGAGGGCGCCUUCGUAGAGACCAUCAAAGGGUGGCAGUCGGGGUGGUUCUAUAUCACCGAGCCGCGUGACCCUGAAUGGGCAGCGGCCCCCGAAUUCCGAUCUGGCAUCCCCACACGGCUCACAUCUUGGAAAGAGACGGGCCUGUUGUGGGGUAGUCCGGGAGAGGUGACCAGACUCCAAACCUGCAUCCGAGACCUGGUGAACAAGAAGGUUAAGCUUGACAACAUAGUCUAG
rnacentral:rRNA from 1 species